UCGGGCAAAAGCGCGGCCGAAAACCUUCAGACUGCCUAACCCACCAAGCUUCCGGUCUUUGACCGCGGAUGUACCGGCACAGAUCGUCGAAGCCUUGAGGAGGCCGGGUUCUCACCCGGCCUUUUGUUUU
rnacentral:sRNA from 1 species